UACGUAGGGUGCAAGCGUUUGUCCGGAAUUAUUGGGCGUAAAGAGCUCGUAGGCGGUCUGUCGCGUCUGCUGUGAAAACCUGGGGCUUAACCCCGGGCCUGCAGUGGGUACGGGCAGACUAGAGUGCGGUAGGGGAGACUGGAAUUCCUGGUGUAGCGGUGAAAUGCGCAGAUAUCAGGAGGAACACCGGUGGCGAAGGCGGGUCUCUGGGCCGUAACUGACGCUGAGGAGCGAAAGCAUGGGGAGCGAACAGG
rnacentral:rRNA from 1 species